rnacentral:misc_RNA from 1 species
GAUGAAGAACGCAGCGAAAUGCGAUAAGUAGUGUGAAUUGCAGAAUUCAGUGAAUCAUCGAAUCUUUGAACGCACAUUGCGCCCCUUGGUAUUCCAUGGGGCAUGCCUGUUCGAGCGUCAUUUGUACCUUCAAGCUUUGCUUGGUGUAGGGUGUUUGUCUCGCCUUUGCGUGUAGACUCGCCUUAAAAUAAUUGGCAGCCGGCGUAUUGAUUUCGGAGCGCAGUACAUCUCGCGCUUUGCACUCAUAACGACAGCGUCCAAAAGUACAUUUUACACUCUUGACCUCGGAUCAGGUAGGGAUACCCGCUGAACUUAAGCAUAUCAAUAAGCGGAGGA